rnacentral:lncRNA from 1 species
GGGCACAAUAUUCUGCAUUUAACAUUUGAACUUCUCCUAUCCGAGGCAGCAGGCCGUUUUGUCCUGGGGUCGCUGACCCUGGCUCCCCCAUCAGCUGCCCUGAAACCUUAAUUGAAUGACAGAUGGUCAUUUUCGGGGGCGCCAGAAGCUGCGGGCGGCCAGCGGCGCGGGGACUGCGGCCCCAGGCCCCGGCAGUCCUGCCCGGACUCUGCCAGCAAGGGGCGGGCGGCAGAGGUAGCAGGCGGCUUGCGGAGCUGGCCUAGCCUGCGGGCGCGACGGGAUCUGCGGGCGUCGGGCGAACGCGUGGCAACGAGCACCUGGAGGAAACCCCGGCGUAAGAGGCCGCGCGGGCGUUAGAUCACCAGCUGGGAGCUGUUUAUUUAUGGCUGCAAAUGUGUGUGUUCAAGAGAGAGAGGGAAUUGAUCUUUGCCUGGACUUAAAGAUGGAGCCGAAGAAGCUGGAGGGAAUUUGGGCUUGUGCGUCUGGCCCAGACCCUGUGCGCCGAGCCCGAGGUCUAUCCUCCCCGCACCUCUCACCUCGCGACCUUGCAGGAAUCCGCGGGCCCGGAUGCUGCCCAGCUGACCCUCCUGCCCCGGGCCUGGCUGCAGAGAAAGUCUUCGGGCAGGAGGCCAUCCUGUUCCUGUCUUUAAAAUGAGCACAAUAAAAGGGGGCAAAUCCUCGAACGCGAACCUGAUCUCAUGUCACAGAAGCAACUUGCCAUGAAAUCCGCUAAUGCGCUGCGACUCGCCCACCAGGGCAGCGUGCGGCGGCCGAACUGCACCUGCGUUUGUGAGCCUUGUAGAAAUGGAGCCCACCGGAUUCCCUCACCCGGAGAAAUGCCCAAACUGAAACUUGACUACACUUCCCUGGGCUGGUUCACGGUUUCAUAAUCUCCCAGGUUUGCUGGCUGUGUCACCAAAUCCAAGCCAAACCUGCUAUAAACAUGAUCACAGGCCACUGACCUCGCAGCACUGACCGAUAACUCGGUGGCAAAAUCAGCUCCUCUGGUCAGAGGUUAUUAAAGCAGCGGCUGAAUUCGUGUUUGUUUUUUUGAAGUGGUCAGAAAAACGUAGUCUUCUUAAACCUACAAAAACAGUCAAACACAUUUGCAAAUGUGCUUUACUUGUAUUGGUUCGAGUGCUGGAAGCUGUCUGGCGGUGAGCUUUUUCGUUGCGUGUGGUUUAUGCAGAGCACCCGGGAUGUUUUUCUCGUCUUUUACGUCUUGGUAUCUUUUAAAAAUGUAGAAUGUGUCUCUGAUUGUUUCACAGUAUGUUCCUUAACAACCAGAUAUGUAAGAAAACGUUUGGGAUUGAGUGGUGAGAAAAGCAGACUGGAAAGUACAAAUAAACCCAA